CCAGCAAUGGGGAACCGGCGUAAGGGGCAGUAAGGCGUGGGUACCUACCCUGGGGUCUGGGAUAGCCGUCCGAGAGGGCGGGUAAUACCGGAUGACCUCGGGAGAGCAAAGCUCCGGCGCCCUGGGAGGGGCCCACGUGAUAUUAGCUAGUUGGCGGGGUAACGGCCCACCAAGGCGGAGAUGUCUAGCGGGUGUGAGAGCACGACCCGCGCCACUCGCACUGAGACACUGGCGAGACACCUACGGGUGGCUGCAGUCGAGGAUCUUCGGCAAUGUGCGCAAGCACGACCGAGCGACGCCGCGUGGGCGACGAAGGCCUUCGGGUUGUAAAGCCCUGUCGAGGGGGAGAAAAGCCGGAAACGGUGUGAUCUAUCCCUGGAGGAAGCUCGGGCUAAGUUCGUGCCAGCAGCCGCGGUAAGACGAACCGAGCGAACGUUGUUCGGAAUCACUGGGCUUAAAGGGCGCGUAGGCGGGCUGCCAAGUUUGGGGUGAAAUCCUCCGGCUCAACCGGGGAAGUGCCUUGAAUACUGGCGGUCUGGAGGGAGGUAGGGGCGUGCGGAACUGUAGGUGGAGCGGUGAAAUGCGUUGAUAUCUACAGGAACUCCGGUGGCGAAGGCGGCACGCUGGACCUUUUCUGACGCUGAGGCGCGAAAGCCAGGGGAGCGAACGGGAUUAGAUACCCCGGUAGUCCUGGCCCUAAACGUUGAGAACUAGGUAGUAGGCCAGACAUGGGCUUACUGCCGGAGCAAAAGUGCUAAGUUCUCCGCCUGGGGAGUAUGGUCGCAAGGCUGAAACUC
rnacentral:rRNA from 1 species